rnacentral:rRNA from 1 species
UAGAUUAGUAACAGUUAAGUUCUCUAAAAUUAAAGGGUUUGGCGGUAUUUUAGUCUUUUCAGAGGAACCUGUUAGUUAAUUGAUGAUCCACGAGUAAAUUAACUUAACUUAUAAAUUUAUAUAUCGUCGUAGUUAAAUUUUUUAUAAGAAAUUAAAUAUUUAUAAUUUAUUAUUAUAAAUUAAAUCAGAUCAAGAUGUAGUAUAUAGUUAAGAAUUAAUGGGUUACAUUGACUUUAGUUAUGGUUUUAAUUUUUAAAAUUUUAAAAAACUGGAUUUGAAAGUAAUAUUUUUAUUACAAAUGUGAUUAAGCUCUAAAAUAUGCACACAUCGCCCGUC